rnacentral:rRNA from 1 species
CACGUAGGGGGCAAGCGUUGUCCGGAUUUAUUGGGCGUAAAGAGCUCGUAGGUGGUUCGGUAAGUCGGGUGUUAAACCCCCAGGCUCAACCUGGGGACGCCACUCGAUACUGCUGUGACUAGAGUCCGGUAGGGGAGCGUGGAAUUCCUGGUGUAGCGGUGAAAUGCGCAGAUAUCAGGAGGAACACCAGCGGCGAAGGCGGCGCUCUGGGCCGGUACUGACACUGAGGAGCGAAAGCGUGGGUA